AACAAUAAUAUACUAUAUAUUUAUUAUGUUACUGUUAUUGUUGUUAUUUUGAAUUUUGAAUUUUGAAACAACAUUUUAGUGUUCCAAAUAUUUCAAUGCUUAAUCACAGAAUAGAUUAAUCAACAACAAUAAUAUACUAUAUAUUUAUUAUGUUACUGUUAUUGUUGUUAUUUUGAAUUUUCAAUUUUGAAACAACAUUUUAGUGUUCCAAAUAUUUACAAAUGGAUUUUUCCAAAGGGAAAGAGGCCUUUAAGACCUCCAAGGAAGAGUUGAGAAAAUCAGAUAAAGACAUUAAAGGUCCUGUAAAAAGAACUAAAAGAUUAAAAUAACUGUAUGAUCAUUUUAAAUUAUAAAUAUUCUUUAAAUCAGAAAUGGAAAUUAACGGAGUUAAAGGAGAAUCAUCAUUUACAGUGCAAUUUCCACUUUUGGGUGGUUUCAAAAUGCUGUAAGUUGAUAAUAAUUUGUAUAGUUGAAGAAAUGUUGGCGCUGAUGGGUGAUCGUUGGAUCCUGCAGCCUGACGUAUUAUUCCAAAAAACAUCUAAUUUAUCUUGGUUAAUCUUUCCAGUUAAUAAAUAUUUGAAAUUCCAACAAGAACUCAAGUAUUUGGAUAGGUCAAGUGUAGACUGGAUAGUAACUCUCAAACCACAAGCAGUACUGUCUGUUAGGAAUUCAGAUUUUUUUAUUUGGCCAUUAAUGAGCUGUUUUUCCCAAUCAUUCAUCCAAAUUAAAAAUGAUUGAAGAAACUGUAAGUUAUAAAUUUGCCUGAUAAUCUUUGCCAUCAACUCUAAGUCCUUCAGCACCAAAUUUUCUAUUGAGAGCAUCAAAGCAAUCAUUAAAUUUACGGCAAAACAUGGCAGUUGGUUCACAGUCUUCGAAGCCAGAAAUUUUAUAGGUUUUAUAAAAUAAUAACCCAUUAGCCACUGAAUUACUCAAGACCUAUAAAUAAAAUUAAACAAUAAGGUAACUUAACAAAAUUGAUUUGUAUUAAUUCUUCAUAUUUUGAAUUAUUAUAUUUGUUGAUAAAUAAAUAUCAUACUUGAGUGGCCAACCGAACCCUCAUUUUAUCAGAAACACUAAGUACAAUAUGAUUUUUUGAUAACUUUGGGCACACUCUCAAAUUUCCUCUUAGUUUUACAUCUUCUUCAUAUAAAUGUUUGAUGUGUUGCCAUUGAAUAUAUUGACCAUGAAUCUAUAUUAUAUACAAUUAAAUAGGUAAAUUAAAAAUAUGUAUUCUGAAUUUUGUUUAAAAUAAUAGAAUUAAUAUUUAACAUAUCCAAUAUUUAAAACAAUUUUACAUAGUUUCAAAUGUUAAUUUUUAAAAUCAUAAUAUACCACUUAGCAUCUAACAUACCAUAUUAAAAUUAAAAUAUAUA